rnacentral:rRNA from 1 species
UACGUAGGGUGCGAGCGUUGUCCGGAAUUAUUGGGCGUAAAGGGCUCGUAGGCGGUCUGUCGCGUCGGGAGUGAAAACUCAGGGCUUAACCCUGAGCCUGCUUCCGAUACGGGCAGACUAGAGGUAUGCAGGGGGAGAACGGAAUUCCUGGUGUAGCGGUGGAAAUGCGCAGAUAUCAGGAGGAACACCGGUGGCGAAGGCGGUUCUCUGGGCAUUACCUGACGCUGAGGAGCGAAAGUGUGGGGAGCGAACAGG